UGGGGAAUUUUGGACAAUGGGCGCAAGCCUGAUCCAGCCAUACCGCGUGAGUGAAGAAGGCCUUCGGGUUGUAAAGCUCUUUCAGCCGGAAAGAAAUCGCGUUUAUUAAUACUAAGCGUGGAUGACGGUACCGGAAGAAGAAGCACCGGCUAACUACGUGCCAGCAGCCGCGGUAAUACGUAGGGUGCGAGCGUUAAUCGGAAUUACUGGGCGUAAAGCGUGCGCAGGCGGUUCUGUAAGACAGAUGUGAAAUCCCCGGGCUCAACCUGGGAACUGCAUUUGUGACUGCAAGACUAGAGUGUAGCAGAGGGGGGUAGAAUUCCACGUGUAGCAGUGAAAUGCGUAGAGAUGUGGAGGAAUACCGAUGGCGAAGGCAGCCCCCUGGGCUAACACUGACGCU
rnacentral:rRNA from 1 species